rnacentral:rRNA from 1 species
UACGUAGGGUGCAAGCGUUAAUCGGAAUUACUGGGCGUAAAGCGUGCGCAGGCGGUUUUGUAAGUUUUGUCGUGAAAGCCCCCGGGCUCAACCUGGGAAUUGCGAUGAAGACUGCAAGGCUUGAAUCUGGCAGAGGGGGGUAGAAUUCCACGUGUAGCAGUGAAAUGCGUAGAGAUGUGGAGGAACACCGAUGGCGAAGGCAGCCCCCUGGGUCAAGAUUGACGCUCAUGCACGAAAGCGUGGGGAGCAAACAGG